AUUGAACGCUGGCGGCAUGCCUUACACAUGCAAGUCGAACGGCAGCACGGGUGCUUGCACCUGGUGGCGAGUGGCGAACGGGUGAGUAAUACAUCGGAACGUACCUUAUCGUGGGGGAUAACGCAGCGAAAGCUGUGCUAAUACCGCAUACGCCCUGAGGGGGAAAGCGGGGGAUCGAAAGACCUCGCGCGAUUAGAGCGGCCGAUGCCUGAUUAGCUUGUUGGUGGGGUAAAAGCCCACCAAGGCGACGAUCAGUAGCUGGUCUGAGAGGACGAUCAGCCACAGUGGGACUGAGACACGGCCCAGACUCCUACGGGAGGCAGCAGUGGGGAAUUUUGGACAAUGGGGGCAACCCUGAUCCAGCAAGGCCGCGUGAGUGAAGAAGGCCUUCGGGUUGUAAAGCUCUUUUGUCAGGGAAGAAACACCGGCUCUAACACAGUCCGGGAAUGACGGUACCUGAAGAAUAAGCACCGGCUAACUACGUGCCAGCAGCCGCAGUAA
rnacentral:rRNA from 1 species